rnacentral:rRNA from 1 species
CAGUCGCCGCGGUAAUACGAAGGGGGCUAGCGUUGCUCGGAAUCACUGGGCGUAAAGGGUGCGUAGGCGGGUCUUUAAGUCAGGGGUGAAAUCCUGGAGCUCAACUCCAGAACUGCCUUUGAUACUGAAGAUCUUGAGUUCGGGAGAGGUGAGUGGAACUGCGAGUGUAGAGGUGAAAUUCGUAGAUAUUCGCAAGAACACCAGUGGCGAAGGCGGCUCACUGGCCCGAUACUGACGCUGAGGCACGAAAGCGUGGGGAGCAAACAGGAUUAGAUACCCGAGUAGUCCCUGUCUCUUAUAC